rnacentral:rRNA from 1 species
AACGCGUGGGAACGUGCCCUUCUCUGCGGAAUAGCCACUGGAAACGGUGAGUAAUACCGCAUACGCCCUUCGGGGGAAAGAUUUAUCGGAGAAGGAUCGGCCCGCGUUAGAUUAGAUAGUUGGUGGGGUAACGGCCUACCAAGUCUACGAUCUAUAGCUGGUUUUAGAGGAUGAUCAGCAACACUGGGACUGAGACACGGCCCAGACUCCUACGGGAGGCAGCAGUGGGGAAUCUUAGACAAUGGGCGCAAGCCUGAUCUAGCCAUGCCGCGUGUGUGAUGAAGGUCUUAGGAUCGUAAAGCACUUUCGCCAGGGAUGAUAAUGACAGUACCUGGUAAAGAAACCCCGGCUAACUCCGUGCCAGCAGCCGCGGUAAUACGGAGGGGGUUAGCGUUGUUCGGAAUUACUGGGCGUAAAGCGCGCGUAGGCGGAUUGGAAAGUUGGGGGUGAAAUCCCGGGGCUCAACCCCGGAACUGCCUCCAAAACUAUCAGUCUAGAGUUCGAGAGAGGUGAGUGGAAUUCCAAGUGUAGAGGUGAAAUUCGUAGAUAUUUGGAGGAACAUCAGUGGCGAAGGCGGCUCACUGGCUCGAUACUGACGCUGAGGUGCGAAAGUGUGGGGAGCAAACAGGAUUAGAUACCCUGGUAGUCCACACCG